rnacentral:rRNA from 1 species
AUUGAACGCUGGCGGCAGGCCUAACACAUGCAAGUCGAACGGUAGCACAGAGAGCUUGCUCUCGGGUGACGAGUGGCGGACGGGUGAGUAACGUCUGGGAAACUGCCCGAUGGAGGGGGAUAACUACUGGAAACGGUAGCUAAUACCGCAUAACGUCGCAAGACCAAAGUGGGGGACCUUCGGGCCUCACACCAUCGGAUGUGCCCAGAUGGGAUUAGCUAGUAGGUGGGGUAAUGGCUCACCUAGGCGACGAUCCCUAGCUGGUCUGAGAGGAUAACCAGCCACACUGGAACUGAGACACGGUCCAGACUCCUACGGGAGGCAGCAGUGGGGAAUAUUGGACACUGGGCGAAAGCCUGAUGCAGCCAUGCCGCGUGUAUGAAGAAGGCCUUCGGGUUGUAAAGUACUUUCAGCGGGGAGGAAGGCGGUGAGGUUAAUAACUUCACCGAUUGACGUUACCCGCAGAAGAAGCACCGGCUAACUCCGUGCCAGCCGCCGCCGUAA